GCGCAGCUCCCAGAGCCACCGUCUCGCGCCUCCUUGCGUCCUCCGGAUCCGCUCUCUCAGGGCUUACAGCGGGGCCCCCGCUUUUCGGGGCUCCCCUCGGCCAGCGCCGGAGGUGGCUGGCGCGUCCCCAGGUCCGCGCCUGGCAGCCUGACGGGACUGUUGGGGGUGACCGCCAUAGCGCCACGUGGUCACUUGUUUGACAAAGGAAACUUUUUCCUCCUUACGAAGUGCGGCAUUUCUGGUCCGAGCCACCGGCCGCCUUAUGCCUAUUGUAUUCCCUUUCCCUGCCGAGCCAUCUUUUUCGCUUUCUUUGAGCUGUCCCAAACCUGGGCCAGGGUCCUGGCGCGGUGAAGACGUAUUCCCCGAGCCGGCCGCGGGGCCUUUGCUUUCUCUUGGAAGCUCACGAAAAUCACGAGAACUCUAGGCGGCUUGAUGUUUGCAAACCAACUGAAGAGCGGCAGAAAGUUUUCGUAGGCAGGUCAGCCGGGCCAUUUUGAAGUGUGCCCCAGAGCACAACGAUUAAAAUUAUACAGAGCCCUCAUCUGCUUUACUUUCUGGCCGAUUUGACUGUAACAGGUCUCAGAUAAAGAUACUGAGCCAUCAAAGGAAAAAAAUUCACCUGAGAUCAUCCCCCAUCGCCCCUCAUGUGAUGGAACGGAGAGUCACAAAACAGAGGUUCCUUUGCCUUUUGUUAAAUCUCUAACAUUAGAUUAAUGUGUCUAAGGUUAAUUACUGGAUUAUUAAUAAUAAACUGGGUU